AUCUUAGAUGUAAGUGUUUAUUAUAAUUAUUGUCUCCACUACACAUAUUGAUGUGAUGUAAAAUGCUUAGUUGUGAAGAAGAAAUAGAUAAAAAUCAAAAAUCUGCUUAUGACUUACUAAAAGAAGAGGAAUUUCUAACACCUAUAGUUACAUUUUCUGCUGCUUUUGAUAACAUGAUUGGAGGUGGUAUUCCCAUUGGAAAAAUUACUGAAAUUUGUGGUGCUCCUGGUACAGGAAAAACCCAAUUUGGAAUACAAAUUGCAGUUAGUGCUCAAAUACCAACUUUAUUCGGAGGUAUUGGGGGUGAAGCUUUGUUUGUAGACACUGAAGGAAAUUUUAUUACAGAGCGUGCUUUAGAAAUUGCAGAAGCUGCAUCAAAACAUAUUCAAGAUAUUGCCAUGGAAGAAAGUGAAUUAAGCAAUGCUGCUUUUGGCUUUACCAAACACUGUAUAAUGAAUGGUAUCCAUGUUGCACGUUGUCUUAACUAUAAUGAUUUAAUGGCACUGUCUUAUAUUUUAUCAGAUAUAAUUCUUCGACAUCCAAAAGUGAAAGUUGUCAUUGUGGAUAGUAUUGCAUUUCAUUUCAGACACGAGUUUGAAGAUAUGGGUUUACGUACACGAUUACUUCAUACUUUAGUUCAAAGUUUUAUGAAAGUUGCAUAUGAGUACAAAAUUGCAAUUGUAUUAAUGAACCAAAUGACAACAAAAUUGACAGAAAGUUUUUCUGAGUUGGCUCCAGCUCUUGGUCAAAGUUGGGCACACGCAUGUACAAACCGCAUAAUAUUACACAGUGUUAAUGGAAAAAAGUUAAUAGUUUGUAUUUAAGCUGAAAGCACUUCAUUUUUAUAUACAAUGUAUGCACAACUAGUAAAAUCAUCCAGCUGUCAAGAAGCCACAGUUACUUAUGAAAUUACGGAAGAUGGAAUUCGUGAUUCUCAAUAAUUUCUGAAGAAAUCAGGUUUGCAACGUAAGAAAAUAAGUUUCUUCGAAAAAGAAAAAGGACAAUGUUAUUAUUUCAGUGCAAGAUUUCUGCUUCAAAAUACAUUUCGUUUGAAAGAUGAUUUAUAAUAGGGUUAUAUAUUACAAAUUUUUAAAUUUAAAAGAAAAUAAAAAAAAGUUUAAUAAAACUUGAA